UACGGAGGGUGCGAGCGUUGUCCGGAUUUAUUGGGUUUAAAGGGUGCGCAGGUGGCCCGGUCAGUCAGUGGUGAAAUGCGGCCGCUCAACGGUCGAACUGCCAUUGAUACUGCCUGGCUUGAGAGGAGUGGAGGCCGCCGGAACGGACGGUGUAGCGGUGAAAUGCAUAGAUAUCGUCCAGAACACCGAUAGCGAAGGCAGCUUACUAAGUUGUAACUGACGCUGAUGCACGAAAGUGUGGGGAUCAAACAGG
rnacentral:rRNA from 1 species